CAAGAUGAGUUCUCCCUGAAGACCCGUGGUAGAUGACCACGUUGAUAGGCUGGAUGUGUACGAGCAGCGAUGCUCUCAGCUGACCAGUACUAAUCGGUCGUUUGACUUGACCAU
rnacentral:rRNA from 1 species